AGCAAUCUACACACAUACACUCACACACCCCGUCCCUUUCCCUCCUCGCAGAAGCCGAGGAGAUGCCAUGUGAGGGUGCAGCGAGGAGUUGGGCUGUCUAAAAGCAAAGAAAGAGAUUGCAUCAGACACCGCAUCUGCUGACACCUUGUUCUUGGACUUCCAGCUUCCAAAACCGCGAGAAAUAAAUGUCUGUGUCUAAACCCCAACCCUACCACCUCAACUGCCGUGUGUGGUGUUUUGUGAUGGCAGCCCCAGCUGACUGAGACACCUGGUUAGACCGGAAUAAGCAGUACCUGAGUCCCUUAAGAGUGGCCAAAGAAGAAAGAAUCCACUGAGUUGACAUUCCAGUUCAGCUGCAAUCGGUAGCAGUCACCAUUGAACAUCCUUGAAGCAAUUCUUCCAAAAUUACCUUGCAUCAAAGACUGCACAAGAACUGCUCUAAGCGGAAGGACUGAUGUCGGCAACCAGGGUUCCACCAGGGGCUGCAGACAGCCCUUGACCUUCAGGUGGGAAGGUGUCACUGAGUUCAGACCCUCUGGCAAUCCCUAGCUAUCAACAUUUUGAUAAGAAAAUAAGUGGAAAGAAGUACAAAGAGUAUAUUCAAUUUGUUACAUAAAAGAAUACUCAAAGAAGACUGAAGCCACCUCCAGUUAGCAAGUUCUUUGCCAUUCAGAAGUAACCAAAUUUACUCACGUAGGCCAGGAAUUUCUAUGACGUGUUCCAAAUUCAGCCUCUCACUGAACACUUCCAGAGCAAGGCAACAUAAACAUCUGCAAGAAGAACAUUGUGUGAGAAAUAUCAAGUGAGAGUGGAAGAGUCUGCGGAGGGCCUCCCUGGGGCUCACCUGUGCUUUUGCCUGAGCUUCACCGUGUCAAGGAUGCAGCACUUUUUCCCUCUGGAGGAAGCAGCUUUCACCUUGGAAGAAUCUUGACCUUGCCAUUCAAAGUCACCAGACAGGGAAUCUGCCAGUGCCUUGAUCUUAGACUUCCCAGCUUCUGUAACUGUGAGCAAUAAAUGUAUGCUGCUUAUAAACUA
rnacentral:lncRNA from 1 species